rnacentral:rRNA from 1 species
UACAGAGGGGGCAAGCGUUGUUCGGAAUUACUGGGCGUAAAGGGCGCGUAGGCGGCCUUCUAAGUCGAACGUGAAAUCCCCGGGCUCAACCCGGGAACUGCGUCCGAUACUGGAAGGCUUGAAUCCGGGAGAGGGAUGCGGAAUUCCAGGUGUAGCGGUGAAAUGCGUAGAUAUCUGGAGGAACACCGGUGGCGAAGACGGCAUCCUGGACCGGCAUUGACGCUGACGGCGCGAAAGCCAGGGGAGCAAAGCGGG